GCAGUCGUGGCCUACUGGUUAGGGCUUCGGGCUUGUAACCGCGGGGUUGCCGGUUCGAUCCCCGACCAGUAGGA
rnacentral:tRNA from 1 species